AUACGGAGGAUGCGAGCGUUAUCCGGAUUUAUUGGGUUUAAAGGGAGCGUAGGUGGGAUAUUAAGUCAGCUGUGAAAGUUUGGGGCUCAACCUUAAAAUUGCAGUUGAUACUGGUUUCCUUGAGUACGGUACAGGUGGGCGGAAUUCGUGGUGUAGCGGUGAAAUGCUUAGAUAUCACGAAGAACUCCGAUCGCGAAGGCAGCUCAGCGGGCCGGAACUGACACUGAUGCUCGAAAGUGCGGGUAUCAAACAGGAUUAGAUACCCUGGUAGUCCGCACAGUAAACGAUGAAUACUCGCUGUUUGCGAUACACGGUAAGCGGCCAAGCGAAAGCGUUAAGUAUUCCACCUGGGGAGUACGCCGGCAACGAUGAAACUCAAAUGAAUUGGCGGGG
rnacentral:rRNA from 1 species